AUUGAACGCUGGCGGCAGGCUUAACACAUGCAAGUCGAGCGGAGAGAGGUAGCUUGCUACUGAUCUUAGCGGCGGACGGGUGAGUAAUGCUUAGGAAUCUGCCUAUUAGUGGGGGACAACAUUUCGACAGGAAUGCUAAUACCGCAUACGUCCUACGGGAGAAAGCAGGGGAUCUUCGGACCUUGCGCUAAUAGAUGAGCCUAAGUCGGAUUAGCUAGUUGGUGGGGUAAAGGCCCACCAAGGCGACGAUCUGUGGCGGGUCUGAGAGGAUGAUCCGCCACACUGGGACUGAGACACGGCCCAGACUCCUACGGGAGGCAGCAGUGGGGAAUAUUGGACAAUGGGCGCAAGCCUGAUCCAGCCAUGCCGCGUGUGUGAAGAAGGCCUUAUGGUUGUAAAGCACUUUAAGCGAGGAGGAGGCUACUUUAGAUAAUACCUAGAGAUAGUGGACGUUACUCGCAGAAUAAGCACCGGCUAACUCUGUGCCAGCCGCCGCGGUAA
rnacentral:rRNA from 1 species